rnacentral:rRNA from 1 species
UACGUAGGGGGCUAGCGUUGUCCGGAUUUAUUGGGCGUAAAGAGCGUGUAGGCGGCCAGGUAGGUCUGCUGUGAAAACUCGAGGCUCAACCUCGAGACGUCGGCGGAAACCAUCUGGCUAGAGUCCGGAAGAGGAGAGUGGAAUUCCUGGUGUAGCGGUGAAAUGCGCAGAUAUCAGGAAGAACACCCGUGGCGAAGGCGGCUCUCUGGGACGGUACUGACGCUGAGACGCGAAAGCGUGGGGAGCGAACCGG